GGGUUGUGAGGUUAAGCGACUAAGCGUACACGGUGGAUGCCCUGGCAGUCAGAGGCGAUGAAGGACGUGCUAAUCUGCGAAAAGCGUCGGUAAGGUGAUAUGAACCGUUAUAACCGGCGAUGUCCGAAUGGGGAAACCCAGUGCAAUUCGUUGCACUAUCGUUAACUGAAUACAUAGGUUAACGAGGCGAACCGGGGGAACUGAAACAUCUAAGUACCCCGAGGAAAAGAAAUCAACCGAGAUUCCCCCAGUAGCGGCGAGCGAACGGGGAGCAGCCCAGAGUCUGAAUCAGCUUGUGUGUUAGUGGAACGGUCUGGAAAGUCCGACGGUACAGGGUGAUAGUCCCGUACACCAAAAUGCACAGGCUGUGAACUCGAAGAGUAGGGCGGGACACGUGGUAUCCUGUCUGAAUAUGGGGGGACCAUCCUCCAAGGCUAAAUACUCCUGACUGACCGAUAGUGAACCAGUACCGUGAGGGAAAGGCGAAAAGAACCCCGGCGAGGGGAGUGAAAAAGAACCUGAAACCGUGUACGUACAAGCAGUGGGAGCACCUUCGGGUGUGACUGCGUACCUUUUGUAUAAUGGGUCAGCGACUUAUAUUCUGUAGCAAGGUUAACCGUAUAGGGGAGCCGCAGGGAAACCGAGUCUUAACUGGGCGUUAAGUUGCAGGGUAUAGACCCGAAACCCGGUGAUCUAGCCAUGGGCAGGUUGAAGGUUGGGUAACACUAACUGGAGGACCGAACCGACUAAUGUUGAAAAAUUAGCGGAUGACUUGUGGCUGGGGGUGAAAGGCCAAUCAAACCGGGAGAUAGCUGGUUCUCCCCGAAAGCUAUUUAGGUAGCGCCUCGUGAAUUCAUCUUCGGGGGUAGAGCACUGUUUCGGCUAGGGGGUCAUCCCGACUUACCAACCCGAUGCAAACUACGAAUACCGAAGAAUGUUAUCACGGGAGACACACGGCGGGUGCUAACGUCCGUCGUGAAGAGGGAAACAACCCAGACCGCCAGCUAAGGUCCCAAAGUCAUGGUUAAGUGGGAAACGAUGUGGGAAGGCACAGACAGCCAGGAUGUUGGCUUAGAAGCAGCCAUCAUUUAAAGAAAGCGUAAUAGCUCACUGGUCGAGUCGGCCUGCGCGGAAGAUGUAACGGGGCUAAACCAUGCACCGAAGCUGCGGCAGCGACACUAUGUGUUGUUGGGUAGGGGAGCGUUCUGUAAGCCUGCGAAGGUGACCUGUGAGGGUUGCUGGAGGUAUCAGAAGUGCGAAUGCUGACAUAAGUAACGAUAAAGCGGGUGAAAAGCCCGCUCGCCGGAAGACCAAGGGUUCCUGUCCAACGUUAAUCGGGGCAGGGUGAGUCGACCCCUAAGGCGAGGCCGAAAGGCGUAGUCGAUGGGAAACAGGUUAAUAUUCCUGUACUUGGUGUUACUGCGAAGGGGGGACGGAGAAGGCUAUGUUAGCCGGGCGACGGUUGUCCCGGUUUAAGCAUGUAGGCUGAUUGUCCAGGCAAAUCCGGAUAAUCAAGGCUGAGGUGUGAUGACGAGGCACUACGGUGCUGAAGUAACAAAUGCCCUGCUUCCAGGAAAAGCCUCUAAGCAUCAGGUAACAUUAAAUCGUACCCCAAACCGACACAGGUGGUCAGGUAGAGAAUACCAAGGCGCUUGAGAGAACUCGGGUGAAGGAACUAGGCAAAAUGGUGCCGUAACUUCGGGAGAAGGCACGCUGGUGUGUAGGUGAAGUCCCUGCGGAUGGAGCUGAGACCAGUCGAAGAUACCAGCUGGCUGCAACUGUUUAUUAAAAACACAGCACUGUGCAAACACGAAAGUGGACGUAUACGGUGUGACGCCUGCCCGGUGCCGGAAGGUUAAUUGAUGGGGUUAUCCGUAAGGAGAAGCUCUUGAUCGAAGCCCCGGUAAACGGCGGCCGUAACUAUAACGGUCCUAAGGUAGCGAAAUUCCUUGUCGGGUAAGUUCCGACCUGCACGAAUGGCGUAAUGAUGGCCAGGCUGUCUCCACCCGAGACUCAGUGAAAUUGAACUCGCUGUGAAGAUGCAGUGUACCCGCGGCAAGACGGAAAGACCCCGUGAACCUUUACUAUAGCUUGACACUGAACAUUGAGCCUUGAUGUGUAGGAUAGGUGGGAGGCUUUGAAGCGUGGACGCCAGUCUGCGUGGAGCCAACCUUGAAAUACCACCCUUUAAUGUUUGAUGUUCUAACGUUGGCCCCUGACCGGGGUUGCGGACAGUGUCUGGUGGGUAGUUUGACUGGGGCGGUCUCCUCCCAAAGCGUAACGGAGGAGCACGAAGGUUAGCUAAUCCUGGUCGGACAUCAGGAGGUUAGUGCAAUGGCAUAAGCUAGCUUGACUGCGAGCGUGACGGCGCGAGCAGGUGCGAAAGCAGGUCAUAGUGAUCCGGUGGUUCUGAAUGGAAGGGCCAUCGCUCAACGGAUAAAAGGUACUCCGGGGAUAACAGGCUGAUACCGCCCAAGAGUUCAUAUCGACGGCGGUGUUUGGCACCUCGAUGUCGGCUCAUCACAUCCUGGGGCUGAAGUAGGUCCCAAGGGUAUGGCUGUUCGCCAUUUAAAGUGGUACGCGAGCUGGGUUUAGAACGUCGUGAGACAGUUCGGUCCCUAUCUGCCGUGGGCGCUGGAGAAUUGAGGGGGCUGCUCCUAGUACGAGAGGACCGGAGUGGACGCAUCACUGGUGUUCGGGUUGUCAUGCCAAUGGCACUGCCCGGUAGCUAAAUGCGGAAGAGAUAAGUGCUGAAAGCAUCUAAGCACGAAACUUGCCCCGAGAUGAGUUCUCCCUGAGACUUUAAGUCUCCUGAAGGAACGUUAAAGACGAUGACGUUGAUAGGCCGGGUGUGUAAGCGCAGCGAUGCGUUGAGCUAACCGGUACUAAUGAACCGUGAGGCUUAACCUUACAACGCCGAAG
rnacentral:rRNA from 2 species